rnacentral:rRNA from 1 species
UACGUAGGGGGCUAGCGUUGUCCGGAUUUAUUGGGCGUAAAGAGCGUGUAGGCGGUCAGGUAGGUCUGCUGUGAAAACUCGAGGCUCAACCUCGAGACGUCGGCGGAAACCAUCUGGCUAGAGUCCGGAAGAGGAGAGUGGAAUUCCUGGUGUAGCGGUGAAAUGCGCAGAUAUCAGGAAGAACACCCGUGGCGAAGGCGGCUCUCUGGGACGGUACUGACGCUGAGACGCGAAAGCGUGGGGAGCGAACAGG